GACGAACGCUGGCGGCGUGCCUAACACAUGCAAGUCGAACGGGGUAGAGAGCUUCGGUUUUCUGCUUAGUGGCGAACGGGUGAGUAACGCGUGAGAAACCUGCCUUUCAGUGGGGACAACAGUUGGAAACGACUGCUAAUACCGCAUAAUGUUAUUUGAGGGCAUCCUCGAAUAACCAAAGAUUUAUUGCUGAAAGAUGGUCUCGCGUCUGAUUAGCUAGAUGGCGGGGUAACGGCCCACCAUGGCGACGAUCAGUAGCCGGUCUGAGAGGAUGAACGGCCACAUUGGGACUGAGAUACGGCCCAGACUCCUACGGGAGGCAGCAGUGGGGAAUAUUGGGCAAUGGGGGAAACCCUGACCCAGCAACGCCGCGUGAAGGAAGAAGGCCUUCGGGUUGUAAACUUCUUUUACCAGGGACGAACAAAUGACGGUACCUGGAGAAAAAGCAACGGCUAACUACGUGCCAGCAGCCGCCGUAACAC
rnacentral:rRNA from 1 species